rnacentral:rRNA from 1 species
UCGCCUGUUUAUCAAAAACAUAGCUAUUAGAAAGGUAUUAAUAGUUUCUUCUGCUCAAUGAGUUAUUAAAUAGCCGCAGUACCCUGACUGUGCAAAGGUAGCAUAAUCAAUUGGCUUAUAAUUGAAGUCUUGUAUGAAAGAAUGUAUGUGGGGUAGCUGUACCAUAGAUAUAUAAUGAAUUUACUUAGCAAGUGAAAAUUCUUGUUAUUUAAUAAUAGACGAGAAGACCCUAGAAAUUUUUAUAACUAUCACUGGAAGUUUUUGUUGGGGCAACAGUGUAACAUGAAAUUUACAUUAUUAACAUGAAAUAUAAUUUGUUAGAAUAAAUUACUCUAGGGAUAACAGCGUAAUGUAUAAACGAUUGCGACCUCGAUGUUGGACUAGGAAGCAAGAGC